AUACGGAUUAUGCUUUUCAACGUUUAAAAGUUAAAUUGGGUGGCAAUUUUAAGUAAUAGUAGAGAGGUAUGUUCAUUAAAUCGAUACUUCGCGAGAAUGUUACCUUUUAUUGAAUUUCAUUUCACACACCUCCGUCUGAAGAGUUCAUUAGAACUCUUAAACCUUUAAGGUAAUAAGUCAGGUCAAGGCGUGGACUAUUAAAAGGAUUGAAUGUACUUUAUUUUUAAAGACAGAUUUACUUAUGUAAUAAAGUAAAUAAGGAAAUUUACAAGCACU
rnacentral:rRNA from 1 species